UACGUAGGGUGCAAGCGUUGUCCGGAAUUAUUGGGCGUAAAGAGCUCGUAGGCGGUCUGUCGCGUCUGCUGUGAAAACUCGGGGCUUAACCCCGGGCCUGCAGUGGGUACGGGCAGACUAGAGUGCGGUAGGGGAGACUGGAAUUCCUGGUGUAGCGGUGAAAUGCGCAGAUAUCAGGAGGAACACCGGUGGCGAAGGCGGCAUCCUGGACCAAUACUGACGCUGAGGAGCGAAAGCUAGGGGAGCAAACGGG
rnacentral:rRNA from 1 species